rnacentral:ribozyme from 1 species
GCCGCUCGAAACUUUGCACACCUCUACGUGGUGGGCGGCAGGCAACACAGCAUGGAUGCUGUGGCUAAGAUGCAGAG